rnacentral:lncRNA from 1 species
AGUCCCGUGAGGGUACAAAACCCGGUUUCUGCAGAUUAAGAACCUCUUGGAAAAAUACUUCCCGAACAAGCUGAACAUUAACGGCGAUGGACUUGUGGACACCAACAAAAAAGUCGAAAAGAUUUGUGAGGGCAUCAGAACGUCCCUAAAGGCCAGGGCUAGGCAGGAACCCUCUUCGGAUGUGGCAGAAUCAAACUCAAGAGAAGGAGGAGAACGCAGGGCAGAACCACGACCACCAACGAUGCGGGAGGAAGGAAAACCAAAUACAUCAGGGGUCUCCAGGGCAGAGUUUGUUUCCAAAUUUUAGGACAAGGCCUUGAAACAUCCAAGAGAUCCAGGAGGUG